GUGUGCUAUGGGAGGAGGAGGACACCCUGGAAAGACAGUAGGGUCAGGCACUGAACUACCUUUGGAAGCAAGUAGGAGCAACAUCGAAGGUUUGCUGGCUGAGGAAGGAGGAUUAAUUGGAAUGAUUAAUCUGGAAGCUCUGUAAGAUGGAUUAGAUGGGCAAAUUGGAGGCAGGAAGGCUGGGAGGAGGCUGCUGCUACGUGAUUUUUCUUCCCCAACAGGUUCCCAGUUCCUGAUUUCUGGCCACCCCACUCUUACGGUGAGUCAUUUUGUUUGUGUUUUUUAGAAGCGAGGUCUCACUGUGUUACCCGGGCUGGAGUGCAGUGGCUACUUACAGGCAUGAUCAUAGCACACUGCAGCCUCGAACUCCUGGACUAAAGCAGUUCUCCUGCCUCAGCCUCCAGAGCAGCUGGGACUGCAGACACGCACCACAGACAGAGCCCAGCCUGAGUCAUUCUGAUUCUGUAACUGGCUUCCUCUCGGCCAUCGAUGGAAAUGUCAGAUACUGCGAGUCCACGCCUGAACACCUCUGGGGUCCGCUCUGGGACUGACACUGGCAGAUUCAUCGAUGAGCUCCCGCCUGCUACCUCUGGGCCUGCAUUGCGGUGAUACGGCCAAGGGCCUGGGUCUUCAAUUCUCCAGACUUGCCGAAUGCACAGCGCAGGCCUCCUCGGCAACUGCAGACAAGCAGAGGCAGCAGCACCUGGGCUCUGCCUGUGCCUGAGACAGGGUUCCACCAUGUUGCCCAGGCUGGUCUCAAACUCCUGAGUUCAGGUGAUCCACGUGCCUCAGCCUGCGAUAAAAUUGCACAGAAGUAAAUACACAUGCAUGCGUAUAAGGAAAACCGGGGAAACCUGAGCAAGAACAGUCACACCCCGGCUGUGAUGGCGUCCAGUAGUUCUGUGAGAUGUUACCACUGGGGAAACUGAGUGAAGUUCUUAGAUGCCCCAUAUGAAGAAUGAAAGAAUUGGCCACGAUGAUCCUUUAGGGUAUUCCAGGAUGAUGACAAAGGGGACCAGGCUCUUCUGCUGCUGGCCAAAGAGGACUUUACUUCCCAUUCCGUGUGGUUGAACAAGAAUUGCUGGGCUCCAGUCCUGCCUUUGGUCCUUCCCUACAUGUGACCUUGGGCCCUCUCUGCCUUUCAGCAUCAAGACAGUGAGAGAGUUACACAAGCUCAGGUUAGUAAGUCAUUCAACAAACAUUAAUGAACACUUAUCAAAUACUGCAUGCUGGAGUGGACACUGGAGAAAAAGGUGAGGAGAAGGCCGGGCGCAGUGGCUCAUGCUUAUAAUUCCAGCACUU